UUCUUUGUUUUCGCGUCGUGUGAAACCGUGAGACAGUGAUCGUGGAUUCAGUGCGUUUUUUGUGUUCGGUUUUUCAUCUGCUUAGUGGGACGAGCCUUGGGAAUUAUGUCUACAAUAUUCUGGAAUAUUCUGCCCCAGCUAUUUUCGUAAGAUUGGUCAAGCUCUCCGGUCAGUCUAGUUUCAGUGACAGUGUUGUGAGUGCUUUCAGCUUGGCGUCGGGCAAUUGGAUAACCUAUCGCUGAAUCGUCUGCUCUGAGCUGCCUACUCCUGAUCG